UGUCUUAUCAAUACUGUGGCCUACUUAAAUAACAAAGUUUCUUGUCAUGUAUCAUCUUGCACUGUCUACCAAAUUCAUCACUCUGAAAUCUAGAUAUUUUCUUAUUAUUUAGUUCAUAAACUUUUGUCACUCUUGGCACAUGACACUAUGCUUGUUAUUUGCAGAAAAGAGCCUGGAAUAUAUUGUUCAUUACAAGUGUUGUCUCUCUCUAUGCAAGUGUACUCUAUGAUAGUUGGACCAACACAGUGUUAACUGCAGCAUACCUCUUGCUUGUCACAUUUCAAGGUGUGCCAGGAGAGGACUCUUGGACUGUGUCCACUGUACGCAGCUGGAAGUUCUCAGUCUUGGGAGGUGUGGAGGAGUUUUGGGUGCCUAUUCUAAUUCGCAUUCUUUCUGCUCUUCUUGCCACCGUUCUGACAGCUGUGGCUCUUCCAGAUCGUGCUGCGUGGAAGCUCUGCUUGUGGGUGUGGUACUCGAAUGUCUAUGUGCAUCUACUACAAACGGUGGAGUGGUACUGGCUGCCAAUUGGAAAUCAGAUGGAACAUCGACGCCAGUAUCCAACUAUAGAUCGCCAAGGGCGUGACUGGUCAGGUCCUUGUUCAAUCUGCCUGGAAUCUAUCAAACCUUGCACUGCCACUGCUACCACCUGUGGACAUAUUUUUCAUGGUGAAUGCCUCAAGAAAUCUGUUGUAACCAAUGGCAAUGUCUGCCCUCUUUGCAGGUGGCCUCUUGUUACAAUGACAUCCAUUUAAACAAAAUUUGUAAUCAACUUUUACACACACUAUGUGAAGCCUUUUAAAAUCUAUAGCAUGGGCCUUUCAAUGGUGCUAUAAUCUGUUUGGCAACUGUUGGUGGUGUAUCUCUCAUGCAUAUUAUUUCUUAGGCAGUGAAAUGCCUCCUUAUUCUUUUAUAAAGCUGUGAUAAUAUAUAUUAACAUAUGUGCCCAUACUCCCAUGUCUUUAAAGCUAUACUCCCUUCCAGUACACCUUCAUAAUAAAUACAUACUCUAUUUAUUGAAAUCAGAUGCAGUUUUGUCUUCCAUACCUUAAUCUUCUGAAACUUAAAUUGGUGUUUAAAUAACAGACAUACUCAUAUUUUAAAGCAAAAGUGGAUUUCACGAAAUUUAAUAAUAUAUGACGCACCCAGGCCUGAAUUCCUGGCCCUGUUUUAAUGAAAGUAGGAGAAAUGAAAAUGUUAUAGACAACAGAUAAUGCUAUCUUAGAAGGGGAUGUCACAGAAAACUUCAUUAGCCCAAAAACAAUAGUAAGUUUUAUGAAAUUGACAAUCAGACAUCAUUUCAAUACACAUUUGAAGAACUUGCAUUAUAUGACAGUACUUCUUAUGAAAUUAAAUGUGUUAUUAUUAAAAUAUAUCUGACAUGACUAAAGAGAGAUAAAGUAUCUUAAUUUUCAAUAUAUGUCAAUGGAUCACUAGAUCCUAUUCUUCUUAAGGCUCAUACAUGCUGUAUUUGUUCAUUUUCUCUAAGUACUGUCUGACACACUGGAACAGAAUAUCAGAUAUGAUAAAGCAAGGAGAAUAUGGCAUUUAAGAAGUUUGUGUUAAAUCCUGUCUCAUUACUCUACCUGAAAAGCGUUCCUUGCAGUAAAUGGAACAAAUAAAUACAUAUGUAUUAAUUUAUUAUGUUAUCUGAAAACAGUUACCCCCAACAUGUAUACUGACAACUUGUAACAUCUGCUUGAAACACAGCCAUUAAAUUACCUAAGAAUCAAUUCAGUUUAUACAGAAAUGGCUCCUUAUGCCAUGUCCUGGCUCACAGAAAUCAGUAUAACUUAUACUAAUAUUAUUUAAAAUGCAAAAAUGAUCAACAGCAAACAAUGCAAUCUGAGAUAUGUAGAGAAUAUGCUAAUGAAAAUGCUUGUUAAUCAAUCUGGUAUCUCUUUCACAAAUUUCAAUGAAAAUAGAAAAUUAUUUACUUAACAUGCCAAUACUUAGAACAGGCUUAUACAUUCCUGCUGGCUCCCUCCCAAAUUCCAUAAGAGUGAAAGAAUGACAUCACAUAUUUCUUUCUUUAUUUACCAUCAUGGCACUGCAUGGUGAUCACUUU